GGCAGGACGGUGCAGGGUGCGCGUUGGGCUCUGUUAAUUGUGCCGCAUGGUCGCUGGAUUUGAUAAGCAACCCAAAGGUCCCCGUUCGACUCGGGGUCCUGCCA